GCUCGCUUUCGCCGCGGCCACCCCCUCUUCGCCGGGGCGGACACUGAGCCACCUGGCACAGCCUCCACCGCCACACUACCCACGCAGUACCCCGCGAGCUCCGGCCCUACGCCGCCCUCCAGGGCCACCACGUUCCCUCCUGGGCCGUCCUCAGAGACAAUGGCUCACCCCGUCGCCCUUCUGCUCGACCACAGGGUACUCCGCUUUCCCUGGGCAGCGGAUGUCAUAGCUGCCCGUUUCACAGAAGUGUAGACCGAGGCCGAGGAGCUCAAAAGCGAGACACCAUGCGGAGAAACCCGGCUGCUAAUAGGGUCGAGGAGGGUCCAGCUAAGUGGGCCUGCAGAGGACAACCAACACAGCUAGCACCCAGAUCUUCUUUUUAGUACCAUUCUUCAACAAAAGGAACCAGUCCUCCUUGGGGAAAUAGCUGAUUCUAAUCCUGGGACGGGAAAUAUUUAACAAGAACCUGGAGCAUCCUGCUGUGUCAGAAGAGUGAAGAAUCCAUCAGAUGCCCGUGGACUUAGGACCACUGCAGUCACUAAUGGGACCUCAUGGCAGAGACAGCUGGAAGAGCAAAGCCACGCACCUGGAGCUAGAGUUGGAGUCUGGAAAAUGCAACGGAGAUAUCUGGAUAUGUGUGCAGGGAUUAGUACCUACCCCUGCACUAGGUAUCAUGACCUCUCCAUACCCUUCUCUUGAAGAUCUCACUGGCUGCCCCUCUUUCUCUGGAGAAGCAAGGUAACCCCAACCAUCCUGAGGCAAUGUGGUGCUAUGUUGAGAAUGCCUCUUUAGUCAGCAUGGGGCAACAGAAAAAUCAGGUCAGGGAGGAGAUGUGACCUAGGGCUCUGUCCUUGGACUCUGCUCCCUGCUGGACUCUGAGGAGCAUUCCUAAGGGGCCAUGCUAAAGAGCACAGUGCUCAUAGGGGUCAUGGAGCAAGCGAUGGCGCAUCCAGAUGAUGACUAUCUCACUGUCCUAGCUGGAACCCAAGGACAUGUACAGAGGCUUGGUCCUUCCUUUGUAAUUCCAAAAUCCAAAAGUUCUGGAAAACAAGUGUUUUUUGCAGCUCACUGGGGGUAAAAAAUGACUUGACAUCACAUAAGAUCAUAUAUUUUAAUCCCAUCUAGGUCCAAUCAUUGUAUUUUUGCAGCAGAAAUAUUGAAGAGUGUGAUUGUGGGAUGCUACUGAGAAUAUUAAACAUUUUAGAGGAUACAAAUUAUGCUACCUUUCCAUAUCUGAGAAAACUUGUAAUUUAAAUGAACUUCAGAAAGUUCAGAAUUCUGAACUCCAUCUGACUCCUCAGGUUUUUUGUUGUUGUUCUUGUUGUUUUGGGUUUUUUGUUUUUGUUUUUUUUUUUUGUUUUCCUUUAGGUGUUGAGGAUUGAACCAAGGCAUGCUCUACCACUGAGUCACAUCCCAGUCAUUUUUAUUUUUAAUUUUGAGACAGGAUAUCACUAAGUUGCAUGGGGCCUUGCUAAGUUGCUGAGGCUGGCCUUGAACUUGUGAUUCUCCUGCCCCAGCUUCCUGAGUCACUGGGAUUACAGAUGUAUACUACCAUACCCAACUGUCUGCUAAAGUUUUGGAUAGGGAAUUGUGAACAUAAAGACUGGAUACAAAAAAACCAAUAAGCUCAUGAAAAGAUGUGCGAUCACAUUAACCACCAGGAAAAUGCAAACAAGAUGACAAUGAGAAACUGCUUUAUACUAACUAUAAUGGCUACAAUAAAAAGACAGACAAUGACAAGGAUAUAGAGAAACAGGAACCCUCAUUCAUUUCUGGUGGGAAUGCAAAACAGUGCAGCUUUAAAGAACAGUUUGGAAGUUACCGUAUGAACUAGCUACUUUACUCCUAGGUAUACAUCCAAGGAAAACAAAAAUAUGUCCCCACAAAAAUGUACAAACAAAUGUUCUUAGCAGUGUUGUUCACAACAGCCAAAAAGUAGAAACAACCCAAAUGUUCAUCAACGGAUGAAUGGAUAAAGAAAAUGCUUUCUAUCUAUACAAUGGAAUAUUACUCAAUCAUGAAAAGCAACAGAGCACUGAUAUGUUCUAUAACAUGAAUACGCCACGAAAACAUUAAGCUAAGUGAAAAAAAGCCAGACACAAAGGACAAAUACUGAGUGAUUCCAUUUAUAUGAAAUGUCCAGAAUAGGUAAAUUCAUGGAGACAGAAAGUAGAUUAGUGAUUGCCAAGGGCUGAAAAGGAAGGAAAGGAAAAUAACUCUAAAUGUGUAUACGGCUUCUUUGUGAGAAGAUGGGAAUGUUCUAAAAUUAGAUUGUGGACGGCAUUUCUUGUAGAAAUGGAUAAAGCAAUCAUGAAAUUCAUAUGGAAAAAUAAAAGACCCAGAAUAGCAAAAGCAAUUCUAAGCAGGAAGUGCGAAUCAGGCGGUAUAGUGAUACCAGACUUAAAACUAUAUUACAGAGCAAUAGUAACAAAAACAGCAUGGUACUGGUACCAAAACAGGAGGGUGGACCAAUGGUACAGAAUAGAGGACACAGAGACUAAUCCACAAAGCUACAAAUAUCUUAUAUUUGAUAAAGGAGCUAAAAGCAUGCAAUGGAGGGAGGAUAGCAUCUUCAACAAAUGGUGCUGGGAAAACUGGAAAUCCAUAUGCAACAAAAUGAAACUGAAUCCCCUCCUCUCGCCAUGCACAAAAGUUAACUCAAAGUGGAUCAAGGAGCUAGAUAUCAAA